rnacentral:rRNA from 1 species
GGGCCCGCACAAGCGGUGGAGCAUGUGGUUUAAUUCGAUGCAACGCGAAGAACCUUACCAGGGCUUGACAUACUACAGAUUCUUUAGAGAUAGAGAAGUGCCUUCGGGAAUGUAGAUACAGGUGGUGCAUGGCUGUCGUCAGCUCGUGUCGUGAGAUGUUGGGUUAAGUCCCGCAACGAGCGCAACCCACGUCUUUAGUUGCCAGCAUUUAGUUGGGCACUCUAGAGAGACCGCCGGUGAUAAACCGGAGGAAGGUGUGGAUGACGUCAAGUCAUCAUGGCCCUUACGUCUGGGGCUACACACGUGCUACAAUGGCCAACACAAAGGGCUGCGAGCCAGCGAUGGUAAGCCAAUCCCAAAAAGUUGGUCCAAGUUCGGAUUGCAGUCUGCAACUCGACUGCAUG